ACUCAAAUGAAUAGACGGGGGCCCGCACAAGCGGUGGAGCAUGUGGUUUAAUUCGACGCAACGCGAAGAACCUUACCAAGGCUUGACAUGGAAAUGACCGGGGUAGAGAUACUCCUUCCCUUCGGGGCAUUUCACACAGGUGGUGCAUGGUUGUCGUCAGCUCGUGUCGUGAGAUGUUGGGUUAAGUCCCGCAACGAGCGCAACCCUUAUGUUCAGUAGCCAACGGUUAGAGCCGGGCACACUGGAGAGACUGCCGUGGAUAACACGGAGGAAGGUGGGGACGACGUCAAAUCAUCAUGCCCCUUAUGUCUUGGGCUACACACGUGCUACAAUGGUCGGUACAGCGUGACGCAAAGCAGCGAUGCGGAGCAAAACACGAAAACCGGCCCCAGUUCGGAUUGCAGGCUGCAACCCGCCUGCAUGAAGUCGGAAUCGCUAGUAAUCGCGAAUCAGCAUGUCGCGGUGAAUACGUUCCCGGGCCUUGUACACACCGCCCGU
rnacentral:rRNA from 1 species